rnacentral:lncRNA from 1 species
CAUCCGCUUGACGUCAGGGAUCAGACACAUCGAGCUAGAGAGAGGACCCAACCCCGCCAGGCCUCAGAAGUGUGACAUUAGCGGGACCAUAGGCAUACGUACAGGGACUGCGUCGAACAUACUCAGGAACGCGCGCUUUGGCGCCUGACCCUGGAAAAGCAGGGUCGCCACUUUUAUCCCCGGACAACCAGGCAUGGAUGUUCACGAACCUCAAGUACUUGAGGUACACAUCCCCCUCGGCAGGCCUUAGUAAUAAAUCACAGCAGCUAAUGUCCGCAGCCGACACAUUAAGGCAAGACCGAGCAAAGCCAGUAAGGUUGUAUGGUACCCGCUCGACUCCCACGCCUUGUAGAAGUAGAGAACAGCAGCUAUGGGAGAUAGCUGCUAUAGAUGCCUUCCGAUUAUAAUAAGCCAAAUUGUGUGGGUGGAGUCCAGAGGAAGCGCUCUCACCUCCGGGGCAGAGCCACCAGGGCCAGACACGCUCACGGCCUUGGAUCUUCCAUCCGGCCCUGCCUCAACCUCAAACUCGACGGCCUCUCCCUCCCGCAGGCUGCGGAAGCCAUCCGAGUUGAUGUUGGUCUGCGCAGCAACCAUGCAACACUCAACCGAGAGAAAGCAGUCCAGGUCAAGCCGCUGUGGAUUCGUUUUGGAGCUUAAGAUUUUGGUAAGCAAACUAAGCGUAUAUUACGCUAAAUCAAGGAGCGUGUGCAGCGGCCAUAGCGCGGUCGUUGCAUUGGCACGGCCCCCGCACACCCAGCAGAUAAGCAGCGUGCAAUCCCAAGAGGUCCCAGCAAGUCCAUGUAACAAAAGCUGUCAAAAUGCACUAGACCGCUGUUCCACAGAGAACCCUUGCCAGCCUCAAGAACUUGGUCUCGACGGCUGAACGCUAACAAUAACGACGUGUUGUGCAAAGCUUCAGCGCUGACCUGAUGGACGAAGAAGUCCUCGCCACCACCUUCAGGUGUGAUGAAUCCAAAGCCCUUAGUGGCGUUGAACCACUUCACGGUUCCCCGUUGCCUGAGCUGCUCGCCCAUUCCCGCGACCCUCCACGCUCAGUCGGCGUUCGGGGCCAGCUUUCGGCAGCUUACAGGGCAAGAGCUGCCCGUCUGUUGCAGAACCAGGUCGGAGCGAACAGGACUGCGCCGACGACGCUGCAGUUUCGAGGAGAGAUGAUGUACGGCAGAGAUCUGUUGUACUUUGGAGCCCCGCAAUUCCGUUUCUUUCUGAUUAUGGAUAUGGUUGUCAAGGGCGGCACAAAUCCUGGUCGGAUGAGGAUGUGCGGUUAAUGGAAUUUCGUGUUUUUGUGUCGGUGUAGAGUCUCAGACUUUUGCAGAUGCCGUCGUCUAACGAAAGCUUUACCCAAGG